CCUACGGGAGGCAGCAGUGGGGAAUAUUGGGCAAUGGGCGCAAGCCUGACCCAGCAACGCCGCGUGAAGGAAGAAGGCUUUCGGGUUGUAAACUUCUUUUCUGAGGGACGAAGAAAGUGACGGUACCUCAGGAAUAAGCCACGGCUAACUACGUGCCAGCAGCCGCGGUAAUACGUAGGGGGCAAGCGUUAUCCGGAUUUAUGGGGUGUAAAGGGCGUGUAGGCGGGAAAGCAAGUCAGAUGUGAAAACUCAGGGCUCAACCCUGAGCCUGCAUUUGAAACUGUUUUUCUUGAGGGCUGGUGAGGCAAGCGGAAUUCGGGGUGUAGCGGUGAAAGGCUUAGAUAUGGGGAGGAACGC
rnacentral:rRNA from 1 species